UACGGGGGGGGCAAGCGUUGUUCGGAAUUACUGGGCGUAAAGGGCUCGUAGGCGGCCAACUAAGUCAGACGUGAAAUCCCUCGGCUUAACCGGGGAACUGCAUCUGAUACUGGAUGGCUUGAAUUCGGGAGAGGGAUGCAGAAUUCCAGGUGUAGCGGUGAAAUGCGUAGAUAUCUGGAGGAAUACCGGUGGCGAAGGCGGCAUCCUGGACCGACAUUGACGCUGAAAACCGAAAGCUAGGGGAGCAAACGGG
rnacentral:rRNA from 1 species